GAUGAAGAACGUAGUGAAAUGCGAUACGUAAUGUGAAUUGCAGAAUUCAGUGAAUCAUCGAAUCUUUGAACGCACAUUGCGCCUGCCAGCACUCUGGCAGGCAUGCCUGUUCGAGCGUCAUUUCAACCAUCAAGCCCUAGGCUUGUGUUGGAGCCCUGCGGCUGCCGCAGGCCCCUAAAAGCAGUGGCGGGCUCGCUAUCACACCGAGUGCAGUAGAUUACUCUUCGCUCAGGGCGUGUGGCGGGUUCCAGCCGUGAAACCCCCUACUUCUCAAGGUUGACCUCGGAUCAGGUAGGAAUACCCGCUGAACUUAAGCAUAUCAAUAAGCGGAGGA
rnacentral:misc_RNA from 1 species